CUUCCCCCUGCUCGGGCUCCGGCUGGCCCGGAAAUGCGGCUGCGGCUCGCAACCCAACCAGCCAAAUCCGCGGCCCAAGCUACGUGGCCCCGCUUCCUGGCCCCCGUGGUCCUUCAAGUGGCAAGGAUCUGAGAUGAAGAAAUUGAGACACAGAGAGUGACCUGCCAAGUGACCCAGCUGCUGAGUAGCAGAGCUAUGACUGAAGGGCUGUGCUAGGCCCACACUUGAGAGCCACCUCCUUGCUGAGGGGGUGGUGGUCAAGCCUCACCUGCACUCCUCGCUGCUCCAGGUGUUGGAUCAGACUUUUCCUCAUAAGGAACCUAGUGAAAAGGAUGCGGGAAAGGCCAUGACGAGGGAUGAAGGAGAAGGGCAGCGGCGGGUCUCUAUGGGGACACGUCACCCAGCCUUCCCUAUCACCUUACCAUUUGGAAACUACAGCUGCCAACUGGUUCAGACCUGGGCAGGAAAAUGGGAAAUAGGUCCUGUGGAGGAGGAGUACUGCAGUCAGCAUUUUGGGUCUCUGUCAUGGGUGUGCUGGGGUGGUCAGGACUCCUGACCAGUAUAAGCCCACCGCCUCUAGAACCUUUGCAGUUGCCCAGAUGAGCAAUUCACCUAUUGCUCAGUGAGACCCCACUCCCAUAGCCUUGACAUCAUGCUUUGAGAGGGUGCCCUCCCUUCAGUGUUUUACAGAAGAGGAAACUGAGUCUUGGAGAGCUAAAGUGACUUCCCUGAGGUCACAGAGUAAAUCUGUGAUGGUGCUAGGACCAGCACUGGAGCCCAGCUUGAUUCCCAACCUGGACAUGCAAUCUGAAGGUCCUUCUGGUUGGGCCUGACCAGUUUCCUGACAACGGAGUGUUUAAUGGGUCAGCUACUUCCCCCUAAUUACCCGACUCCAGGCAUGACUUCAGAGGUCCUUUACAAUGUCUCACAGCAGGCUUUGGAGUCAGAUCCAGUGCAAAGCCAGGCUCUGUACCUCCAGCUGUGUGACCGCAAUUGGGCAAAUUACAGAAACUCUUGGAGCUUCGGAUUCUCCAUGGGUACAUGGGGAUUAUGAUUCCUGUACCUCCUGAGCAGGCUGUUAGGUAAAGCUCAAAUAAACUAAAGGAUGUAAGAACACUUUGCAAAUUCUACAUUAAAAAGUAUGUACAUAAA